AAAAGUCGUAACAAGGUUUCCGUAGGUGAACCUGCGGAAGGAUCAUUACCGAGUGAGGGCCCUUUGGGUCCAACCUCCCACCCGUGUUUAUUUUACCUUGUUGCUUCGGCGGGCCCGCCUUUACUGGCCGCCGGGGGGCUCACGCCCCCGGGCCCGCGCCCGCCGAAGACACCCCCGAACUCUGUCUGAAGAUUGAAGUCUGAGUGAAAAUAUAAAUUAUUUAAAACUUUCAACAACGGAUCUCUUGGUUCCGGCAUCGAUGAAGAACGCAGCGAAAUGCGAUACGUAAUGUGAAUUGCAAAUUCAGUGAAUCAUCGAGUCUUUGAACGCACAUUGCGCCCCCUGGUAUUCCGGGGGGCAUGCCUGUCCGAGCGUCAUUGCUGCCCUCAAGCCCGGCUUGUGUGUUGGGCCCCGUCCUCCGAUUCCGGGGGACGGGCCCGAAAGGCAGCGGCGGCACCGCGUCCGGUCCUCGAGCGUAUGGGGCUUUGUCACCCGAUCGGUAGGCCCGGCCGGCGCUUGCCGAUCAACCCAAAUUUUUAUCCAGGUUGACCUCGGAUCAGGUAGGGAUACCCGCUGAACUUAAGCAUAUCAAUAAGCGGAGGAA
rnacentral:rRNA from 1 species